rnacentral:rRNA from 1 species
UGUUAGGGCACGACACCGGAGAGGGAGCCUGAGAAACGGCUACCACAUCCAAGGAUGGCAGCAGGCGCGCAAAUUACCCAAUCCCGACACGGGGAGGUAGUGACAAUAAAUAACAAUACGGGGUUCUUUAGGAUCUCGUAAUUGGAAUGAGUACAAUUUAAAUCUCUUAACGAGGAACAAUUGGAGGGCAAGUCUGGUGCCAGCAGCCGCGGUAAUUCCAGCUCCAAUAGCGUAUAUUAAAGUUGUUGCAGUUAAAAAGCUCGUAGUUGAAUUUCGGGGUUAGUAGGUUGGUCAUGCCUCUGGUAUGUACUGGUCUCACUGAUUCCUCCUUCCUGAUGAGCCGUAAUGCCAUUAAUUUGGUGUUGCGGGGAAUUUGGACUGUUACUUUGAAAAAAUUAGAGUGUUUAAAGCAAGCUAACGCUUGAAUACAUUAGCAUGGAAUAAUGAAAUAGGACGUUCGAUCCUAUUUUGUUGGUUUCUAGGAUUGACGUAAUGAUUAAUAGGGAUAGUUGGGGGCAUUAGUAUUCAAUUGUCAGAGGUGAAAUUCUUGGAUUUAUUGAAGACUAACUACUGCGAAAGCAUUUGCCAAGGAUGUUUUCAUUAAUCAAGAACGAAAGUUAGGGGAUCGAAGACGAUCAGAUACCGUCGUAGUCUUAACCAUAAACUAUGCCGACUAGGGAUCGGAUGAUGUUAAUUUUUUAAUGACUCAUUCGGCGCCUUACGGGAACA